UGCUCGCUCACGGCUGAUGGAGAAGAAAGAAUGUCCCGAUUCUCGCUCCUCCGCCUGGAGCCUGAACUGUCCCUCGUGUCUCGCUCUGUCGACUAGGCUGGAGUGCAGUGGCAGCAUGAUCUCAGCUCACUGCAGACUUGUCCUCCCAGGCUCAGGUGAUCCUCCCACAUCAGCCUCCUGAGUUACUGGGACUACGGACGGGCACCACCAUGCACGGCUUACCACUGGUCUUUAUACUAUGCCCUGGAUGCCUCUGGCUUCUGCAGACAUGAUAUUGAGCUGAGGGACAAAGUUUUGGGGAUCCUCAUGCUUACUUGAUCCAGAACUGCUGUCCUUUUAUCUGCUUUACAUACUGGAAUUUUACAGAUUUUGUUAGCAUUUUUGGAAAUUAUUCUCUUUGCCCAAAUAAGU
rnacentral:lncRNA from 1 species